rnacentral:rRNA from 1 species
GACGAACGCUGGCGGCGUGCCUAAUACAUGCAAGUCGAACGCAGUGGGGAUGGGUGAGUUACACGUGGGUAACCUACCAUCAGAGGGGGUAACACUUGGCAACAGGUGCUAAAACGAUACUGAUGGAUGGACCCGCGGUGCAUUAGCUAGUUGGUGGGGUAACGGCUCAACAAGGCCACGAUGCAUAGCCGACCUGAGCGGGUGAUCGGCCACCCUGGAACUGAGACACGGCCCAGACUCCUACGGUAGUCAGCAGUAGGGAAUCUUCGGCAAUGGGCGAAAGCCUGACCGGGCAACCCGCCGCGAGUGAUGAAGGUUUGCGGCUCGUAAUUCGCUGUUGUCUGAGCGGCGGUAUCUAACCAGAACGCCACGGCUUACAACGUGCCAGCCGCCGCGGUAAUAC